GCGGCUUUCAGGCGGCUCUGCGGAGGGGGCGCCGGCAGGAGGGCCAGGACCACAUGCCCGGGGUGGGGGCAAGGGGCACCUCAGGCCAAGGGGACGCCUUCGCGCCGGUAGGUUCGGCGGGGGGCGCAGCCCGGACGCCCCGCAGGGAGCAUCGCCGUGCCAGAGGCUCCCCUUCCCGUGCGCUCCUUGACACCGUUGUGGAGGAACCUCCCCCUCCCCUCCGAGGCGUCGAUCUUAAUCCCCACCCCCUCUUCCCCCAAAUCAGAGUGGUCUUCUGCAGUUUGCCAUCGGGGGGGGUCAAGGAGGGGUCGUCCGGCUUCCUUCUCUGGACAGGGAGAGCGGGCGAGGAAAGAAGUCGCGCCGCUGCGCCCCACCCCCCGCGUCUCAAUCCGCUUUGACCGCUGCUGCGAAUUCGCCCCUGCAAAGGCGUGCGGAAAAGGGGCUCGCCCGGCUGGCAGGCUGCGAAUCAAUCAAAGUCUGCCUUCCCCUCUCCGAAGAGAAGCCGCUUGGCGCUUCGGGCUUGGCGAAGAUUGCGGCGCGCCUCCUCUCCAGCCUCUCCCCCAACCUGGCGCCUCUUCCCAAGUUGCUUAGGGGCAUCAUCCGUGCGGGGAUGCACUGGCACAAAGAAAGGUUAUUUAUUCAUCAAGCGCAUCGCCCGGUUUGAAGAAUGAAAGGCGAAGGAAGCAAGGAAGCAAGCGGUGAAUGCAGUAAUUGCAAGAAGGGAUCUUUGCCGCGGGAAGCGACCGGGCAUCCUGGCGGGCAGCGCCAAUGAAAUAUUCAGAAAGGUUGUGAUGUCUGGCCGGGCCGCCGUCGCCACCUCCCGAGCAUCUUGGUUUCCUUGGCUUCCUUUUUUCACUGGUCACGCCAAUAGGCAGAGAAAACACCUGGGCGCUUCCUCCAGGAGGUGAGGGGUGCGCGUGUGUCUGUUUGCCUGCCCCCCCACCCCUGCAGCAGCCAGUGCGGAGAAGAAGGGUCCCCCUUGGAGAGAGUUCUCUCUGCAGCUGCUGCAGAGGGGUUUUGGACAGGGCUGCAGGGCUUGACUUCAUCUCCCGAGAGAGAGACGCAAGCCCUGGCAUCAAACCACGGGGGGGGGGGGGGCAGAGCGAUCAGCAGCUGGCAUCUGGGGGCCCUGUUUUCGUUUGGAAAUGCCAGCCGCCCAAACUUGUUCCAGAAGUUUGAACCUCGCCAGGGAUUUAAAGACUCCUCAACUCUGAAAUGUCUUCUUGCAUCUUUCUCAUCUGAAUGAGGAGGAUGUUUACCUUGGGCCAUCGGCUGCGGUUGGGCCAGAUAAGGUGGGACAGGUUGACGGACAUAACCAGUGACCUUAAGUGGCCAAAGCCGUAAUUGACGCAGCUCUUGACCCAUAGAAGCCACUGUUAACUUCAGCUUAUGACUGCUUAAGUGCCUUGCUAUUAUCACUUCCUUGGGAAAAAAGCGUAAAUGGCAGGCUUAAAACUAUUAGAGAAUAAAGGAUUCUAGUAAAAAGUUCA